UACGUAGGUGGCAAGCGUUGUCCGGAUUUACUGGGCGUAAAGAGCGCGCAGGCGGUCGACCAAGUCGCGUGUGAAAGCCCCCGGCUCAACUGGGGAGGGUCACGCGAUACUGAUCGACUCGAAGGCAGGAGAGGGUAGUGGAAUUCCCGGUGUAGUGGUGAAAUGCGUAGAUAUCUGGAGGAACACCGGUGGCGAAGGCGGCAUCCUGGACCAAUUCUGACACUGAGGAGCGAAAGCCAGGGGAGCAAACGGG
rnacentral:rRNA from 1 species